rnacentral:rRNA from 1 species
UUCCAGACUCCUACGGGAGGCAGCAGUGAGGAAUAUUGGUCAAUGGUCGGGAGACUGAACCAGCCAAGCCGCGUGAGGGAUGAAGGUACAGAGUAUCGUAAACCUCUUUUGUCAGGGAACAAAGGCGGGGACGUGUCCCCGGAUGAGUGUACCUGAAGAAAAAGCAUCGGCUAACUCCGUGCCAGCAGCCGCGGUAAUACGGAGGAUGCGAGCGUUAUCCGGAUUUAUUGGGUUUAAAGGGUGCGUAGGCGGAAUGCCAAGUCAGCGGUAAAAUCGCGGGGCUCAACCUCGCUCCGCCGUUGAAACUGGCGUUCUUGAGUGGGCGAGAAGUAUGCGGAAUGCGUGGUGUAGCGGUGAAAUGCAUAGAUAUCACGAAGAACCCCGAUUGCGAAGGCAGCUUACUAAACUGUGACUGACAUUGAUGCUCGAAAGUGUGGGUAUCAAACAGGAUUAGAUACCCCAGUAA